UACGGAGGAUUCGAGCGUUAUCCGGAUUUAUUGGGUUUAAAGGGAGCGUAGGCGGGUUGUUAAGUCAGUUGUGAAAGUUUGCGGCUCAACCGUAAAAUUGCAGUUGAUACUGGCGACCUUGAGUGCAGCAGAGGUAGGCGGAAUUCGUGGUGUAGCGGUGAAAUGCUUAGAUAUCACGAAGAACUCCGAUUGCGAAGGCAGCUUACUGGAUUGUAACUGACGCUGAUGCUCGAAAGUGUGGGUAUCAAACAGG
rnacentral:rRNA from 1 species